UACCAGCACCCCGAGUGGUCGGGAUGAUUAUUGGGCCUAAAGCAUCCGUAGCCGGCCUUACAAGUCCUCCGUUAAAUCCAGCUGCUUAACAGAUGGGCUGCGGAGGAUACUAUAAGACUAGGAGGCAGGAGAGGCAAGCGGUACUCAGUGGGUAGGGGUAAAAUCCGUUGAUCCAUUGAAGACCACCAGUGGCGAAGGCGGCUUGCCAGAAUGCGCUCGACGGUGAGGGAUGAAAGCUGGGGGAGCAAACCGG
rnacentral:rRNA from 1 species